GAUUGUAUCUGGUAGGUCAACAAGUGUAAAGAGAUCAUGUGACGGCCAAUUUCAAAAUUUUCCAGGAUGAUGAGUGACUAUAAGGUGGAGAAGUUCUAUGUGGAUUUUCAUUGACCCAAACAGAUGAUGAGUGACUAUAAGGUGGAGAUGUUCUAUGUGGAUUUUCAUCGACCCAAAGACAGUAUGCAAUCAAUGGAACCACUGAAAAAGUUGGAAACAAAGCUUAAGAGACACAAAGUAUUGGAACAGAGCAUUGAAAAUCAUUAUGUUUCUUUUCAAUCAAAGCAAAAGAGACAUCAAUUUGGGUUUGUGUUUAUAAGAUUGGGGUUUGUAUUUGUGUUGUCAGGCGAGGGUCUUGACAUUGGUUUGUGGGACUGUUGACAUUGGUUUGGAUCUCAACAUUUUCUUUUUUAUUUAUUUUUUCUUCAACCCGUAUGUCUCUCAUGGGUCAUUAUUUUUGUUUUAUUUUAUUUUAUUUUUAUUUCUAUAACCCAAUUUAAAUUUUCAUUCAUAAUUCAUGGACUAUUUCUUCAUUUGUUAAAGACAUGGUGAAGAAAUUGAAAAGAAACAGAGUAAGGAAAGAGAUAGUAGUCGGUUUUCUUAAUUGUGCUACGCAUUCAAAUGCUUGGCCACUAUCAUAUUUUUAUUUAUUUUAUGUGCU